AGGGGUAUAGUUCAGUGGUACAGUAUGUGCUUAGCAAGCACAAGGUCCUGGGUUCCAGCCCCAGUUCCUCCA
rfam:Camelus ferus unplaced genomic scaffold scaffold839, whole genome shotgun sequence.